rnacentral:tRNA from 1 species
GAGGGUAUAGCUCAGUAGUAGAGCACAUGCUUAGCAUUCAGGACAUCUUGAGUUCAAACCCCAGUAUCUCCA